AUUGAACGCUGGCGGCAGGCCUAACACAUGCAAGUCGAGCGAGAGGCGGACGGGUGAGUAAUGUGUGGGAAACUGCCCGCUGGAGGGGGAUAACGACUGGAAAAGGUAGCUAAUAACGCACACCAUCAGGUGUGACAAGAUGGGAGUAGCUAGUAGUGGGGGUAACGGUGCACCUAGACGAGGAGCCCUAGAGGGUCUGAGAGGAGGAGCGGCCACACUGGAACUGAGACACGGUCCAGCGCCCUACGUGAGGCAGCAGUGGGGAAUAUUGCACAAUGGGCGCAAGCCUGAUGCAGCCAUGCCGCGUGUACGAAGAAGGCCUUCGGGUUGUAAAGCUCUUUCAGCGGGGAGGCGUUACCCGCAGAAGAAGCACCGGCUAACUCCGUGCCAGCAGCCGCGGUAAUUC
rnacentral:rRNA from 1 species